ACCUACGGGGCGCAGCAGUGGGGGAUAUUGCACAAUGGGGGGAACCCUGAUGCAGCGACGCCGCGUGGGUGAAGAAGCGCCUCGGCGCGUAAAGCCCUGUUAGCAGGGAAGAAAAUGACGGUACCUGAAGAAGAAGCCCCGGCUAACUACGUGCCAGCAGCCGCGGUAAUACGAAGGGGGCAAGCGUUAUCCGGAUUUACUGGGUGUAAAGGGGGCGCAGACGGCGAUGCAAGCCAGGAGUGAAAGCCCGGGGCCCAACCCCGGGACUGCUCUUGGAACUGUUGAACUAGAUUGCAGGAGAGGUA
rnacentral:rRNA from 1 species